UACGGAGGAUGCAAGCGUUAUCCGGAAUGAUUGGGCGUAAAGCGUCCGCAGGUGGCUGUGUAAGUCUGCUGUUAAAGAGUGAGGCUCAACCUCAUAAAAGCAGUGGAAACUACACAGCUAGAGUGCGUUCGGGGCAGAGGGAAUUCCUGGUGUAGCGGUGAAAUGACGUAGAGAUCAGGAAGAACACCGGUGGCGAAGGCGCUCUGCUAGGCCGCAACUGACACUGAGGGACGAAAGCUAGGGGAGCGAAUGGG
rnacentral:rRNA from 1 species